AUUGAACGCUGGCGGCAGGCCUAACACAUGCAAGUCGAACGGUAACAGGAUGAGGCUUUCUUCUUUGCGGACGCGUGUCGGGGGGGUGAGAAAUAUCUGGGAGACUGCCUGAUGGAGGGGGAUAACUCCUGGAAACGGUAGCGAAUACCGCAUAACGUCGCAAGACCAAAGAGGGGGGCCUUCGGGCCCCUUGCCAUCUGAUGUGCCCAGAUGGGAUUAGCUAGUAGGUGGGGUAACGGCUCACCUAGGCGACGAUCCCUAGCUGGUCUGAGAGGAUGAUCAGCCACACUGGGACUGAGACACGGUCCAGACUCCUACGGGAGGCAGCAGUGGGGAAUAUUGGACAAUGGGCGCAAGCCUGAUGCAGCCAUGCCGCGUGUAUGAAGAAGGCCUUCGGGUUGUAAAGUACUUUUAUUGGGGAGGAAGGGAGUAAAGUUAAUACCUCGGCGCAUUGACGUUACCCGCAGAAGAAGCACCGGCUAACUCCGUG
rnacentral:rRNA from 1 species